AACUGGAGGAGGGUGGGGAUGACGUCAAGUCAUCAUGGCCCUUACGACCAGGGCUACACACGUGCUACAAUGGCGCAUACAAAGAGAAGCGACCUCGCGAGAGCAAGCUGACCUCAUAAAGUGCGUCUCAGUCCGGAUUGGAGUCUGCAACUCGACUCCAUGAAGUCGGAAUCGCUAGUAAUCGUGGAUCAGAAUGCCACGGUGAAUACGUUCCCGGGCCUUGUACACACCGCCCGUCACACCAUGAGAGUGUGUUACACAAGAAGUAGGUAGCUUAACCUUCUGGAGGCCGCUUACCACGGUGUGGAUUCGAUGACUGGGGUGAAGUCGUA
rnacentral:rRNA from 1 species